rnacentral:tRNA from 1 species
GGCGUGAUGGACGAGGCGAACAAGUUCGCCUGGGGUUUGGGCGUCAUCUCGCUGGUGCUCGUCGGCGUUCGAUUUGCCGGCACGCAUC